rnacentral:rRNA from 1 species
GAAUAUUGGACAAUGGGCGAAAGCCUGAUCCAGCCAUGCCGCGUGUGUGAAGAAGGUCUUCGGAUUGUAAAGCACUUUAAGUUGGGAGGAAGGGCCGUAAGUGAAUACCUUGCUGUUUUGAUGUUACCGCUAGAAUAAGCCCCGGCAAACCCUGUGCCAGCAGCCGCGGUAAUACAGAGGGUGCAAGCGUUAAUCGGAAUUACUGGGAGUAAAGCGGACGUAGGUGUUUCGUUAAGUUGGAUGUGAAAUCCCCGGGCUCAACCAGGGAACUGCAUCCAAAACUGGCGAGCUAGAGUAGGGCAGAGGGUGGUGGAAUUUCCUGUGUAGCGGUGAAAUGCGUAGAUAUAGGAAGGAACACCAGUGGCGAAGGCGACCACCUGGGCUCAUACUGACACUGAGGUGCGAAAGCGUGGGGAGCAAACA